UAAGUAUUCAAUAAACAUACAAAAUGGUGAAAAGCUUCCUGAUCCUGAUCGCAGUAGUGAUGCUGGCCACUUCUACCCACCAGCAAUCUGCAGGAGAAUCGGGUGCCGGAGCUGGUAGCGUUGGCGGAAAUGCCGGUGGCAGUUUUGGAG